CGAAGGACGAACGCUGGCGGCGUGCUUAACACAUGCAAGUCGAACGGUAAGGCCCUUCGGGGUACACGAGUGGCGAACGGGUGAGUAACACGUAGGUGAUCUGCCCUGCACUUUGGGAUAAGCCUGGGAAACUGGGUCUAAUACCGAAUAGGACCAUGGACUUCACGGUUUGUGGUGGAAAGCUUUUGCGGUGUGGGAUGGGCCCGCGGCCUAUCAGCUUGUUGGUGGGGUAAUGGCCUACCAAGGCGACGACGGGUAGCCGGCCUGAGAGGGUGACCGGCCACACUGGGACUGAGAUACGGCCCAGACUCCUACGGGAGGCAGCAGUGGGAAUAUUGCACAAUGGGCGCAAGCCUGAUGCAGCGACGCCGCGUGAGGGAUGACGGCCUUCGGGUUGUAAACCUCUUUCAGCACAGACGAAGCGCAAGUGACGGUAUGUGCAGAAGAAGGACCGGCCAACUACGUG
rnacentral:rRNA from 1 species